CUCAUCUCCAUCGUCUCCUCUCUCAUUUCCAAACCACAAAAUCCCCAAAUUGAAAAGGAAGAAAACCCUAGACACUGGCGGAGACAGCAGCGUCCCUGCCCUCUCACCGGCGCUCUGUCGCCGGUGUCGCAGUGCAUCUCCUCGCCGUCUUUUUCCCUCUCUGUCCUUCUCAAUCGACCAAGAUUCGGUCGACUCAGGCGGGGGUCGCUCCGAUGGUUCCUACCGCCGUCGUGGAGUCUUCGGCCUCCGUCUCACACAGACAGCCACCCCGCGCAGCUCGUCGGAACAGAGGAGGAGGCGUCGCCUCCGUGACUCUUCCCUCCCGGCUGUUACACGGCAGUGCAGCACCUCCAGCCAGCCGCCAGCUCUAGAACGACGACGAGCUGGUGCCGUCGUUGCCACGCGGCUGAGGCCUCGCCGCUUCCCGACGCGGUGGAACAACCGCUGCUGUCCCGUGACCUACAGCGACUUCCGGGCUCCGUUGGUGCUCGUUCGUCGCCGGCAACCCUUCGGUUGUCGGCCUAGAGCUAAGUCUUCUGUCUUAGCCUAUUUCCCUUUUAUUUACUUUGAUUCUUAAUAUGUGUGUCAGUUUCUACUCUUAAACAUGAGUUUCAUAGCUGAGGUAAAUUGUGAAAAUCUGUUGGGCGAGAGAAGGCCUAAGCUUGUUGUUCUUGUGCUUACUGUGGUAUGCAUUAGAAGUGGAAUAAAGCUUUAGAUUUUCUUAUCCUAAGCAUGACGUUUCAAACGAGGCAGAGAGUGUGCAAGUUUUACUGUUUCUUCCAUAUAUUUCAGCAUGCUAUUUGAGGUUUCUAAGUUGUGGUGCUUCUAUAUGAUGCUAAGUUGUAGUGUGUUUUACCUGUUGAAAGCUGCGGCUGCUUUGAAAUUUAGCUCCUAAAACCUCAGCUCUCUUACUCUCAAACUUGUUGUGUUACUGGUUUUUUUUAUAGGCAGAGUGUGUACUCGUGAGCCUUAAUUGGAGCUGCUGUAUUUCUUUGUUCUUUUUCUGCAGCAAAUACUCCCUUUUUAUGAUUCUGCAGCAACUUUAACUGAAAUUUUUGGUGGUGGUUUUGCAUGUGUACAAGGAAGGAUCCAGGGGUUUGUUGGGAGUCGGAUAUGGCUACUCUAAUUUGGCUCUCAGUUGACACGAGUGAAGGUGCAGGAGCAUACCUGUCAUCUUUGGGCAAGUCUCCUUUAAAAAUGGGAAGGGAACCUUGGGCUGCCAUGUUGCUGUCCGAGACACGGGCUCGCUGCCCUCAGCCCGACAUGGCCAUGGAGGGUGUACUUGUGGCAUGGGAAGAAGAGGCCCAAGUGUAUAUCUUGUAUUCUUAAAUUCCUUUGUACAAAAACUUUAUAAUACUUAAUUCAUAUACAUCCACUUAUGCAUUUAGCAUUAAGCUUUGGGAUUUGUAUUCGUUUUAAA